UGGGGAAUAUUGCACAAUGGGGGAAACCCUGAUGCAGCAACGCCGCGUGAGUGAUGACGGCCUUCGGGUUGUAAAGCUCUGUCUUCAGGGACGAUAAUGACGGUACCUGAGGAGGAAGCCACGGCUAACUACGUGCCAGCAGCCGCGGUAAUACGUAGGUGGCAAGCGUUGUCCGGAUUUACUGGGCGUAAAGGGAGCGUAGGCGGACUUUUAAGUGAGAUGUGAAAUACCCGGGCUCAACCUGGGUGCUGCAUUUCAAACUGGAAGUCUAGAGUGCAGGAGAGGAGAGUGGAAUUCCUAGUGUAGCGGUGAAAUGCGUAGGGAUUAGGAAGAACACCAGUGGCGAAGGCGACUCUCUGGACUGUAACUGACGCUGAGGCUCGAAAGCGUGGGGAGCAAACA
rnacentral:rRNA from 1 species